UACGGGGGGAGCAAGCGUUGUUCGGAUUUACUGGGCGUAAAGGGCGCGUAGGCGGCCACCGCAAGUCGACUGUGAAAUCUCCGGGCUUAACCCCGGAAAGGUCAGCCGAUACUGCGGGGCUAGAGUGCAGAAGGGGCAAGCUGGAAUUCUCGGUGUAGCGGUGAAAUGCGUAGAUAUCGAGAGGAACACCUGCGGCGAAGGCGGGUUGCUGGGCUGACACUGACGCUGAUGCGCGAAAGCUAGGGGAGCGAACGGG
rnacentral:rRNA from 1 species